rnacentral:rRNA from 1 species
CCUACGGGGGGCAGCAGUGGGGAAUAUUGCACAAUGGGCGAAAGCCUGAUGCAGCAACGCCGCGUGAAGGAAGACGGUUUUCGGAUUUUAAACUUUCGUUCUUAGUGAAGAAUAAUGACGGUAACUAAGGAGCAAGCCACGGCUAACUACGUGCCAGCAGCCGCGGUAAUACGUAGGUGGCAAGCGUUGUCCGGAAUUACUGGGUGUAAAGGGAGCGUAGGCGGGAAACCAAGUAAGCUGUGAAAACUACGGGCUUAACCUGUAGACUGCAGUGGAAACUGGCUUUCUUGAGUGAAGUAGAGGUUGGCGGAAUUCGGAGGGUAGCGGUGAAAUGCGUAGAUAUUCGGAGGAACACCGGUGGCGAAGGCGGCCAACUGGGCUUUAACUGACGCUGAGGCUCGAAAGUGUGGGGAGCAAACAGGAUUAGAUACCCGGGUAGUC